CCCCCCCCCCCCGCACUGAUUGACUGAUUGAUCUGCGGUUUUAAUAAUUUCUCCCCUGUGAGUUUGCGCCUGCUCGCUUCUUGGCCCAUGUGCGGUUUGGGGGCGCAUGUGCGGAUCCCUCCCACCCAACAGUCCUCCAUCAUCUCCUGGACAGGCUCUGUUCCUUUCCCCGAACAAUAAUACACCCGUUAAUAGAUCCCCCCCCUCCAAGUCCUUGCUAUAACCAUCCCACUAAAGCGAAACUGACUUCCAAAUCUCACUUAGCUUGACUUGGAAAGGUGCCCUUUCUCCAGCAGGGGAAAAAGAGGUGGGAUUUAUGGAAUCACCCCUGGUUUCUUUCGUGCGUCUCUGAUGCGGUGUCCCUCUUGACAUUUGGUUAUGUGCACCCAUAAUCCCCUCUUGCACCAGACAAUAAUUCGGGGAGCCAGUCUCUUUCUCAUCAGUCCAUCUCCCUUAGAUGGGACUGCUGGCCAGUGAAUUAUCUUGCAGGUGCUGUCACAUACUAACCCCCCCCCCCCAGCACUGUUGUGCUGAGGGUGGACCAUCCCUCCACACAGUUUUUAACUCCAAUCACCAAGCUAGGGAGGAGCAACUGAGGCAUGCAUUUACAUCCUGCCUGAACUUUGGACAGACAGAUCAGGAAAAAAACUGAUAAAUGAGGCAUGUUGUAGAGAUCAGGGCGUGGGGUGUAUCUACUGUUUAUGGCUUGUGAGAAGCACACUCCCACGCUUGUGGUCAGAAGCGAUUGUCUAGUAGUGGAAUACAGUGCGUGUUCCUGGAUCUGGAUCUGGAAUGAUCAAGGCCGGGCAGCCCACGCAUUCUUUUCCCCGAACCCAUUUCCCUGCUGAGAUGGACAGAAUCCGCCUCCGCGCAGUAAACGGAACCAGAUGCACCGGUUCUCCUGGACAUCCCUGUGCUGAUUCCUGCCUCCAGUAUUAAGCCACCAACUGCUCCUGGCUCUCAGGAACUUAGGUCCAUCACUCACCCUCCACAGGUAGCAGGGGCACCAUGGAUGCUUGACUGGUGCCAUGGAAACCAUCCCCAAGUUAAGAUGGUUGUUUCCCCUGACGAUAUUUUCUGUGGAACCUUCAAAAGUCCUUUAUGUGGCAUAUGCUGGGAAAAAAAUAUAUAUUUACACUAGGAUUCAAAGCAAGACAGAUUAAACUUUCCUGAAAAUUAUUUUGCACAACUAGUGAACAUGCAAAUGUUCCAGUGUGGAGGGAAGGGAUUUCAAACACUCAUAGUAUAAAGUCAAGAUGUAAGUUGGCUGAAUGGCAGUUGAUUUGGAUAGGGGCGCAGCUCGAAUGAACACAGAUGGCCUGUUCACUGUAAAUGCAAGAUGAAUGUAGACUGAAUGUAAUUCACGGGCAUCAAAUGGAAUGUUGACAUUGAAUUUUUUAUUUUUUUUUUAAAGAAAAAUCUUCACUCAUAUGCUUGACUUCACAGCUAAAAUAAUCAGGAAGCCCCCGAUUGCACUUCACUGGUUUUACAGCAGGGAGGUUAAGUGGGCGGUACUGGCCUCACACCUCCCUUGCCCUGAGUUUACGCAGUUUGCGUGUUUGCGCUGUGUACCUCGGGAUUCCCCAUCGUGUCCAGCAUUUCCUCUGAAGUCCACAGACCAUACACUGAUGUCAGUUGGCCUCUCUAAACUGCCAGUAGUGUGUAAAUGUCUGCAUCUGUGUGCCUUUCAAUCAGGGUCUGUCAAUGCUAUAUGUGAUAUACUGUAUUGUAGGGGGCUGCCUAGAGCCCCAGCUUUGAAGGGGCCUGACUUGCUAGGUGCUUUCUCUUUGGCUCGGAUGAGGGGUGCCAGCAGUGAUGCCCACCUAGGGCGCCACUAGGGAUGCCACCCAUCCUGGAUUUUCCAAGACCACUCUAGGUUCUGGUCACCUAUCCUGGAAAAAACUAAUGUCGUCCCUCUAUCAGACAGAGUUUUCUUUUUAUGAAUGAGUCGCUACCAUUUACAAGUAGCAGUAGCCUUACUGUAAGGUGGUACUGCCUGACGAUACCUCUAUUGCUCCUUUUUCUUGCUGAUUCCGGAACCUAAGAGGUUUCCGAAGAACUUUGAUGCAUAGUGAGUUCAGUCCAAUGUUUAUAUAAAUUGGUUUGUCCGGAUUGGCUACAGGGCAGUGCCCCCAGGCAUGAGAACACCAUGCCGUGCUCCAUUUAGUUUUCUGUCCAGACUUAAUUUUUGUUCAUUAGAUUUUUGAAGAGAGCAGAAAACAUUUCAGCAAAGGCCAGUAAAGAAAAUGAGAUUAAGAUACAAGAUUCAAAGUUUUAUUUUCGUAUGUACAAAGUACAGUGUGCAAAGCACAUUGAAAUUCUUUCUUGAGUACCAUCUCUCCCGACUACAGAAAAUCUAUAUACAUGAUUUAUAUAUUUAAUAAAAGGACGAGAUAAAUGAAUGUGAAAUUGUGAUACUACUUUAGAGAAAAAGGCAACUCAGAGGUGCAGUUCUCCUGAUUGCUGACAUCACAGGAAUCUGCCAUUGCUCCUCCCCCAUGUCAAGCACAGAGUUCAUCAACCAGCAUGGGGUGCUUUAAGAGACAACAACUUCAAUAAAAGGUUUGUACGAAAGACAGUUUAUAAAAAUGUACCCUCAAUGUGAAAUCAAACAGCUGCAAGUUUUAGUCUUUAAAUCAAAUCCCAUGAUAUUAAUUUUGUCUGUGGCAACAAAAUAAUUAUACCAUUAGCUUACUUUAGAGUGAUUUCCAGGAGCUUUAGUAUUAGCAGCUUAUGACUCUUCUCUUAGCUCAUUUUCUGCACCGUGGAAUCAUGUGUAAGGGGGAAAGGGGGAGCAGGAGGAGCACAGCACUGCCGGGGAGAUGCGUUUGCCUUGCCAGCUGCAUGAGGACGGCGCUGGGAUUCCCCCGCAACCCGAAUGCCUAGCUGCAUGCGGCGCCCCAGCAAACACUGCCCUCCUUUCACGCAGGAUGAAUAGCGGCCACACUCCGGCACCCCCCCGGGCCCCGGGGCGUCCCGGCCAUCCCCGGCAGGGAGACGUCCAUCGGAGGGGAAGUGAUUUGUCAAGUUCCUAUUUCCCCGAUGACAACUGUCAGGACGCCUGGCGCCCCUGUGUGGGACGGCCCAGCUGAACUUCUCCGUUUUGUCUGAAGACCACGGAACAUGCUGUCAAGUCCAACUAAGGUGUAGCUAUGCAGAAAUGACAUAUUUGUAAAAUUAGAUCCACUACAGUGUUUAAACUAAAUCCAAAUAAAUCCUGUUUAUGGUCUGAAUUAAACCCGGAUAGUUGCUAUAAUUUUAUUAGUGUAGCACAGUAUGGGUUUAACAAAUUAAAGAUAUUGAUUGGUGUUAUUAUAGCUAGAAUAUUACAUAUGGCUUGCAGCACAUUAUAUAUAAAUGUAUAUGCAGUGAUCUAGUUAUAAUAAUGCCAGUCAAGUAUACAUACUUUUUACUUUACUUUUUUUGCUGCUGAGAGAUUUAUGCACUGCUAGCAAUAAUAAAAAUCAAUUAAGCUGUAAUAUACCUGCUCUCUCCAAUUACGUUUUAUAUAUAUAUAUAUAUAUGCGUGCACAAAUUUCUGAGAACCUCACCGUCGUUUAAAUUGAAUUUGGAGAAAUGCUCCGGAAUGUAAGAGCUUCGGCGUGAUCACAGUUGUCAUUGGGCCCACAUAAAUAAGCAGCCCCUUAAAGUAUUUGCAGAUUCCCCGGGUGAGGGCCAGUAACCGCAGUGUCUGAAUGCCUACUGUAACUCUCGAGGCAGGUGAGACCAGGGGUGGGCUACCUCCAGCUGUCGUGCAAUGAGAGGAGCACGACAGCCAAAAAAACAGAGAGGAGAGGAACUCCAACACAAUAUAUCUCUGUCUUCGUUUUUUUUUUCUUCAUUGGACAGAUUAUUCAGGUCUUGCGGGGCGUUUUAAUGUCAGGGUGCUGAUCGUUCCUCUGCCCUCUUUAGUGUGUAGGUCAUGCUGCAGAUUUUGGGGUUUUACAGAUUGGAGCUUAAAUCUCCAAGCUGAUGACCGCCUGGUUUGCUGCAGGCAUCUAGGUAGACGGUAGAGGAAUGUGUCUGAUUUACAGAGACCAUUAGAACCAGCAGCCCUAAAGACAGGUAUGGGGUGAUAUGGUUAGUAAUGGAAUGGAAAUAGUAAACGACAGUACAAUUUUGGUGAAAGGGUUCAGUUGGGUCACUGGUUAAUUACAACAAAAAUAAAUGGGAAAUGCUCUUCACGCCUCCCCCAGCUUGCUUUCUCUAGGUAAGAGGGAGCUGGCCAUGAAGGGCAGCCCUCCAUAGUGGCAUCCAGGUGGCCGGGGAUUAAGGAUUAAGAGCCUCGCUCAAGAACCUGCAGAUGCGCCAAGGCAGGCUCAAAGCGGCAACCUUCUCAUCACAGGCACAGAGGCUUAGCCCACUGAGCCUCACGCUGCCCCCCCCCCCCAAUAUUGUUAUGGUUAUAAAUCAUUUUAACUAGCUCAGUUGCUGUAAUGAUCUCUAAAAGCUUGAAAAGUAUCUCCAAUCAUUGUUAAAUUACUUAUUUAGCACCGAAACACAUGUCAGGUCCAAGUCAGAUUCAUUUCUACGCUCUUCAUUUUAAUCAAGCUUGCCAAACAUGGUUCUGUAUUGAUUCAUAGUGUUUAAUUUAUGUAGGACUGCAGUUUGGUUGUUUAUAAUAUUGAGCCAUAUAAAAGGACCAUACAUGAGACAAAUGACUGAACUUUGAGAUGGACUCGUUAAUUAACCUGUUGAUUUGCUGUAUCGUAGAAGCUGGUUCUUCACGUUUAUGCUAAUAUCUUGCUCUUGUGGGCCCCCGUAUGUCCACUUUUGCCUGUGUUUGGUAUAACAUGGACUGGUGAGGCAUCGACAGAACCUGGAAUGAGACCUGCUUUGAGCCUUUACACCAGUGUUUCUCACAUUUUUGCUCCCUCCCAGCUCCUGGUAGCAAAAAAGUGGACUGUCUGUGGGUCCGUGAGGAUGGAUUAGGAAACACUGCUUCACGCUGUUGGGCCACUCACGAGGCAGGCUUCACAUCCCUUUUGUGGGAGAUGGCUUCCCGCCACCGUUAAGUGGCCAUGGACUUCACCACCGGCCUGUUCCCACUUAAUUGCUUACAGGAAGCAGCGGGCUCAGAAUUCCUCAGGGGGGCCAGACAUCGUGAAACAAACUUCCAUUCAGUGCGCAUGAGCCUACAAAAAUAAAUGAAUAAUUUAGCAAGGCCACCACAAUGUGUAUCCUGAGCCCCACGUAGGAAAGGGCAGGCGGAGGAGAGAGGGGAAGGCGGCCGAAACAGGCAGAAUUCCAGGCGCAAAAACACAGCCUGGAUGCUGCUGACUGUAAUUUUUUAUUGCAUUCGAAGAGUCCCGGGAUAUAAUACAAAGCAACAGUUGUCACGGUGAAGGGUCCUGCGGCUUAGGAGGUGUCGAAUUAUUGUACCUCAGCUGGAUGCAUCGGCGUUGGCGGCCAGCAGCCGAAGGGAAGCCAAACCCUGUGGCAUCUCUGCCCUUCCCUGGCCUGGACCGCUGAGCUGGAACACAAAACCGGGCAACAGGCACUCCUCUGUGCCACCUCUAGGGGCACUAUAACUCAAAAGGAGAGCCAGGCACCUCCACCUGACACUUGAUCGCCCGCUUGCCUGUGCCUGAGACACUUCUGGCAGCGUGUCUGAAAUUCACAUUUGCAUCCAGCAUCACCACGGCUAUGGAACGCGAUGCAGAUAAUCCACAGAGAUAACAUGAAUACGGGGAAGCUAAAUCAAGCAGUGAGUACAAAUGAGAACUGGUACUUUGGGAGAGCAAAUGGACUGUGGAUCUCUUCUCAGUGUCUGUAGAUUUAGUGGGAACAUAAGAAAUUUACAAAGGAGAGGAGGCUAUUCGGCCCAUCAAGCUUGAUUGGGGGGAACUUAACUAAUAGCUCAGAGUUGUUAAAAUCUUAUCUAGCUCUGAUUUAAAGGAACCCAGGGUUUUAGCUUGCGCUACACUAGCAGGAAGACUAUUCCAUACUCUAACUACAGGCUGUCUGAAGAAGUGCUUCCUCGGAUUCAUUUUAAAAUGUUCUCCCGCUAAUUUCUACUUAUGGCCACGAGUUCUAGUAUUUAAACUACUGAAAUAGCCAUUUGGCUGAACAGCAUCCAGACCUGUUAGUAUCUUAUAUACCUGGAUCAUGUCCCCCCUUAGCCUCCUUUGCUUGAUGCUAAACAGAUUCAUCUCAGCUAACCUCUCCUCAUAAGACAUUCCUCUAAGACCAGGAAUCAUUCUCGUAGCUCUAUGUUGCAUCCUUUCCAAGGCAGCAAUGUCCUUCUUAAGGUACGGUGACCAAACCUGCACACAAUAUUCUAGGUGGGGUCUUAGUAGAAUUAUAUAAUUGUAGCAUCACCUCCCUUGACUUAAACUCCACAAGAAAGGAAGGAAAGCAGAAAAUGGAGGAAAUGUUAGCCAGAUACUGCUUUUGGGGUAUAUCUGUCAUACUAAAUUUAC